rnacentral:rRNA from 1 species
UACGUAGAGUGCAAGCGUUAAUCGGAAUUACUGGGCGUAAGCGUGACGCAGGCGGUUUUGUAAGUUUGUCGUGAAAGCCCCGGGCUCAACCUGGGAAAUUGCGAUGAAGACUGUCAAGGCUUGAAUCUGGCAGAGGGGGGUAGAAUUCCACGUGUAGCAGUGAAAUGACGUAGAGAUGAUGGAGGAACAGCCGAUGGCGAACGGCACCCCCUGGGUC